rnacentral:misc_RNA from 1 species
GAUGAAGAACGUAGCGAAAUGCGAUAAGUAAUGUGAAUUGCAGAAUUCAGUGAAUCAUCGAAUCUUUGAACGCACAUUGCGCCCGUCAGUAUUCUGGCGGGCAUGCCUGUUCGAGCGUCAUUACGCCCCUCAAGUCCCCUGUGGACUUGGUGUUGGGGAUCGGCGAGGCUGGUUUUCCAGCACAGCCGUCCCUUAAAUUAAUUGGCGGUCUCGCCGUGGCCCUCCUCUGCGCAGUAGUAAACACUCGCAACAGGAGCCCGGCGCGGUCCACUGCCGUAAAACCCCCCAACUUUUUAUAGUUGACCUCGAAUCAGGUAGGACUACCCGCUGAACUUAAGCAUAUCAAUAAGCGGAGGA